CACGGAGUUAGCCGGUGCUUCUUCUGUGGGUAACGUCAAUGCUGAUGAAUAUUAGUCAUCAACCCUUCCUCCCCACUGAAAGUGCUUUACAACCCGAAGGCCUUCUUCACACACGCGGCAUGGCUGCAUCAGGGUUUCCCCCAUUGUGCAAUAUUCCCCACUGCUGCCUCCCGUAGGAGUCUGGACCGUGUCUCAGUUCCAGUGUGGCUGGUCAUCCUCUCAGACCAGCUAGAGAUCGUCGCCUUGGUGAGCCGUUACCUCACCAACUAGCUAAUCCCACAUGGGUGCAUCCAAUCGCGGUAGGCCCGAAGGUCCCCACCUUUCCCCCGCAGGGCGUAUGCGGUAUUAGCAACCGUUUCCAGUUGUUAUCCCCCUCGAUUGGGCAGCUCCCCAUGCAUUACUCACCCGUCCGCCACUCGCCGGCAGGAUAGCAAGCUAUCCCCGCUGCCGUUCGACUUGCAUGUGUUAGGCCUGCCGCAGCGUUCAAU
rnacentral:rRNA from 1 species